AGCUCCGAACAGGAAGAGGACGAAAAAAAUAACCGUCCGCGACGCCGAGACAAACCGGACCCGCAACCACCAUGAACAGCAAAGGUCAAUAUCCAACACAGCCAACCUACCCUGUGCAGCCUCCUGGGAAUCCAGUAUACCCUCAGACCUUGCAUCUUCCUCAGGCUCCACCCUAUACCGAUGCUCCACCUGCCUACUCAGAGGUGCUUCCAGUUUGCCAGAUUUGAACUAGCUGGGAAUACUCUUAGGGUGGUCCUUUAGUCCUUAGCUAAAUCUGACUUCACAUAUUUACUCUUCACAAAUGUUAACAUGAAUAAUCUAAAACACUAUAUAAUUUGGCAAUUUUUGUCGGAGUUGAAAGUGCAUUAUUUGAUGAUUUUGUGUUAUUUGGCACAGGCUGAGGUGCAGAAGAUGAAUUUGCGUCCUGUGAGCCCAACAUUAGCUAUAGCAGAAAGUGAUCCAGGAGAAUAUUGAAGGCCAGUGGAAAGGCAACUUGUAUAAUCUUACAAAAAGUAUAACCUGCACAAGGAGAAUUAAGAAUUAGCUCAUUAAAGAGAUCUCAAAUAGGAAUGUCAUAAAGUAACAUUUUGCCUUCUCU
rnacentral:sRNA from 1 species